rnacentral:lncRNA from 1 species
GCACGCCGCGGCGGACCGGUGACAAGUCAGGUGGAGAAGCUCAAGUCUUGAACUCUGCUUGGUUUCCCAGGUACAGGCUAGACCCCACCCACGAUGAUCACUGAAUCACCAGGUGCUGAGGCCUCUUUCUGUUGUCAAGAGCCAGAGACAACUGAAAGAGCCAGAGACAAUUGAAAGGUACCAUAACACAUUCCCUACAGUAAUUAGGGCUUCCCUUAACAAAGCCAAGGCUGGCACCUGGGUAGAUGUUCUUUGUUGAUUACGAAGUCUUAAUGUGGACUAGCUUCAGAAGCUUCUCAGAGCCAAACCGUCAUCUCUUUGCCUUUCUGCUACGAAGACCACACUCCCAUCCAGGCCACCCACCAGGUUCCAUUUGGUGGAACCCCCACCAAGGACACCUUUAGCUGUUGAUUGCUUUAUAGAAUAACCGGGCUGGAUGACAGCCCUGAGCAGUUUGCCAGUGUGGUCUAGUUUUCUAGGUUUCCCUGGUGAGUCAACAGGAAUGUAUCUACUUGUCUCUGGGAAUUGCAGUUCUACAUCAUCACCUAAAGUCUUCCAGAUUUUCCUGAAGAGAGGCAAAUGUGUAAAACACAACUGAAAGCUGACUGUUGAAUUAACAUCGUGGUGAACAAGAUCUUGGAUGUGAGUCAUGGAAAUGAACCUGAACUGAGAGUUGCUUUCCAAAGACUAUCUCACCACUGGGAUUCAGGCUGAACAAAGGAGUUAGAUUCAGCUAUAUACUCACCUCGGAAGAUCUGGAGCAGGAACCACGGCUGAGAGAGAACAUGCAGGGUUGGUCUUUCUGCAUCUGGUUUACCUCACUCAAUAUGAAACAGGGAUUCUCUGUAUAGCCCUGCUGUCCUGGAACUCAUGCUGCAGAUGAGGCUGACCCUUGAAGUGAGAGAGCUGCUUGCCCCUGCCUUCUUACUGCUGAGAUUAAAGCUAAAAAUUGAGGAUGAAAGUCUAGGUGACUUUCUGGUGGCUGUGCAGAUGAGAAGUCGGACAGUGGCACUGCAGUUUGCUCUGAUUGACUCUGGAGCCUGUGUUUGAAGCUACAGCAAUACAACAGUCUGCUCCAGCGCUGAGCUUGUAGGAAGGCGACCACUCCAGGCCGACUCAAUGGCUUUAGCCUCCAGAGUUAUCGUCGUUUGGCAGGAAGUCUUAAAGAACCCCACAGCGUGCCCUUCCGCCCCUGGCACAUCAUAAGCUAUUUUGGGAUGAGUCAUCGGAAUUCUGUGGUUUGCAUAUCCUGAAGGGGAAGAGAAGACACUGUAUGGCUAACAUUUAUUUGAAAUAGCAAGUUGGAAAGAAAAAUUCUUCGAUAAAAGUUCAGCAUUAGAACACACAGGAAGGUAGGCUUGGUGACUUCUGCAUGUGACUGUCAUAAGCAGAUGCUUGUUGCGCUUCUCCCAAGCCACGUUGGAAGAUGCUUUCCAAAUGCCUUGCGCUGAGCACAUCACCAGAAUGGUUUCCAAGCUACAAGAUGGCUCCAGGGGACACAGGAUACUCACCUGGCUGAGUAAGGAGGGAGAAGGGAUCUGUAAGUGCUCCCCCGUCAGCUGCUACACACUCUGACAUGCAGCUAAUAAUUUAUGAACUUCUAACUUUGGAGGCUGCCUUCAGAUGAUAAGCCUCAUAAAAGCUAACAAGGGUAUAUCUUUGGUAAGUCAGCGAAGCAUUAAAAGGACAAAUAGCCAGUUGAUUUAUUGCUUACUGGAAUAUGUUUGAACAUGAAAGAUUAAAAAGUGAGAUUUCCUUUUCAUUUAAAAGUUAUAUCAGCAGAAACACACAUACGCACUCACAAACUCACACACUCACAUACAACACUAACCAGACUCAGCAGGUUGUAUUGAGAUAUUUAUCCAUAUGUGUGUGUGUGUGUGUGUGUGUGUGUGUGUGUAUACACACACACAUAUAUAUGUAUACACAUACACAUAUAUAUAAAACAAUGCUAAUUGAAGAUUAAAAGGCUAUGAACUUAAAAGGGAGGAGGGAGGGGCUGGAAGAAGGACAGGAGGGACAAAGUGAUAUAACUAUAUUUUAGCUUAAAAUAAAAGAGAUGAACUGAG